GACGAACGCUGGCGGCGUGCCUAAUACAUGCAAGUUGAGCGAUGAAGAUUGGUGCUUGCACCAAUUUGAAGAGCAGCGAACGGGUGAGUAACGCGUGGGGAAUCUGCCUUUGAGCGGGGGACACCAUUUGGAAACGAAUGCUAAUACCGCAUAACAACUUUAAACAUAAGUUUUAAGUUUGAAAGAUGCAAUUGCAUCACUCAAAGAUGAUCCCGCGUUGUAUUAGCUAGUUGGUGAGGUAAAGGCUCACCAAGGCGAUGAUACAUAGCCGACCUGAGAGGGUGAUCGGCCACAUUGGGACUGAGACACGGCCCAAACUCCUACGGGAGGCAGCAGUAGGGAAGCUUCGGCAAUGGACGAAAGUCUGACCGAGCAACGCCGCGUGAGUGAAGAAGGUUUUCGGAUCGUAAAACUCGGUUGGUAGAGAAGAACGUUGGUGAGAGUGGAAAGCUCAUCAAGUGACGGUAACUACACAGAAAGGGACGGCUAACUACGUG
rnacentral:rRNA from 1 species